rnacentral:rRNA from 1 species
GAUGAACGCUGGCGGCGUGCCUAAUACAUGCGAGUCGAGCGAACAGACGAGGAGCUUGCUCCUCUGACGUUAGCGGCGGACGGGUGAGUAACACGUGGAUAACCUACCUAUAAGACUGGGAUAACUUCGGGAAACCGGAGCUAAUACCGGAUAAUAUAUUGAACCGCAUGGUUCAAUAGUGAAAGACGGUUUUGCUGUCACUUAUAGAUGGAUCCGCGCCGCAUUAGCUAGUUGGUAAGGUAACGGCUUACCAAGGCAACGAUGCGUAGCCGACCUGAGAGGGUGAUCGGCCACACUGGAACUGAGACACGGUCCAGACUCCUACGGGAGGCAGCAGUAGGGAAUCUUCCGCAAUGGGCGAAAGCCUGACGGAGCAACGCCGCGUGAGUGAUGAAAGUCUUCGGAUCGUAAAACUCUGUUAUUAGGGAAGAACAAAUGUGUAAGUAACUAUGCACGUCUUGACGGUACCUAAUCAGAAAGCCACGGCUAACUACGUG